rnacentral:lncRNA from 1 species
ACUACCGACAAGGUGACAGAUGAGAGGAUUGAGUUGACUCAGUGUGAUCUCAAGCUUCUUCUAGUAGAUGCCAUCCAAAAGGGUCUUCUCUUCCUCAAACCCAAAUCAUUAGAAGAUCAAAACUCACUGAUCCAACACUUGAAAACCUCACUUUCUCGCACACUAGAUUGCUUCAAUCCUCUUGCUGGUCGCCUAGCCGCAGUAGAACAUGAUGAUAACACAGUCUCCUUCUUCAUUGACUGCAACAAUGCAGGAGCCCAGUUUGUUCAUGCCGCAGCGGAUGGUGUAACCAUGGCUGACAUCCUCCAGCCAGUUUAUGUUCCUCCAAUUCUCCACUCUUUCUUUCCAUUAAAUGGGUUAUUAAACUACGAGGCUGUUUCCAAACCUUUGCUAGCAGUUCAAGUUACUGAGCUUGUAGAUGGCAUCUUUGUUGGUUGUACCAUGAACCAUGCUGCUGUUGAUGGCACGUCAUUUUGGAAUUUCUUCAAUUCUUGGUCUGAAAUCCAUCGUGGGUUGGAUCACGUCUCCAAGACUCCUGUCCUUGAACGUUGGUCACUUCUCAACGGUAGUAUUAGCCCGCCGAUUCGCCUUCCUCUCUCAAUCAUAAAGAACAACCCUGGUUCGUUCAUUCCAUCACCUUUGCAAGAAAGAGUUUUUCAUUUUACCAAGGGAAAAAUAGCGAUGCUCAAAGCAAAAGCCAAUGCUGAAGCUGCCACUACGUCAAUCUCCUCUCUUCAGUCACUUUUGGCUCAUAUUUGGAGAGCUACAACUCGAGCUCGACUAUUUGAACAUGAUAAAGAGAUUGAUUUAAGAAUUUUUAUAGGUUUGCGGGCACGAUUACAACCACCAUUACCAGAAAGCUAUUUUGGAAAUGCAAUUGUGUCUGGGAUUGUAACUUUGAGAACAAGAGAGAUACUGGAGCAAGGACUUGGAUUUGUAGCUUUGGAGGUUAACAAGGUGGUUUCCUCUUAUACAAAAAACAAGGUGACGGACGCUUUAGCGUCGGUGCUGAAGAAUCCCAGUCCAUUAACGAAGGCCGACCUUGGACGUAUUCACAGUUUGGCUAUUAGCAGCUCGCCAAGGCACAACGUUUAUGGUACUGAUUUUGGUUGGGGAAGGCCCGUUGCAGUGCGAAGCGGGCCUGGGAACAAGUUCGAUGGGAAGUUAACAUUGUUUCCGGGACUGGAAGAGGGGAGCAUGGACGUUGAAUUCUCCGUUUUGCCUGAGACUUUGAAGGCUUUAGGAAACGAUUUGGAGUUCAUGGAUGCUGUCACCAUCUAAUCAGAUUUUCAAAGUAUUUCAAGCUCUAAGCUGGUAGUAGGUUUCCAAGCCGGUUUUUGUCCAUUUCAUCUUGCCCUGUAUUGAAUUCUACGUUAAUCCCCCCUGCAUUUGCUCCGUUUUCUCUCUUCCACCUUCUCUUAACAAUAAAUUUCCUGUUCACCACUUCAUUGUGAAUUUGCAAGUCCUGUGAAUUAUGAUGUGUCCAUCUCUCAACAGUAAAUUCUUAAAAUGAAAAUAAUCACACUCUUUAUAUUUAAUGACAUGCUUAUUAAAUUGUUGAAAUCAUGGCUAUGAUCAACGGAUGUCUAUAAAAUCCGAUCACCUUCGCGACCGGCCGGACAUGGCCAUAUCUCAAUGCUGAUAACUAACUUCAAAAACCCGGUUUAACUUAAACAAGUGUUUGGAUAACUUCAAAGUCAUCAGAGAGGACACUUACUAAUCCAAAGCAUGUCAGUCAUUUUAUUAAAUUUAAACCGGUGUGUUUUUUUUUUUCCCAGGUCAUUUAAAUUCAAUAUCAUCUUCACUUUCGUCUCGAUUGUGUCAUGAAGAUGAAGAUGCUCAUGGAUGUCAAAUAGAUAACACCGACAUUAAGCUUUUAUGUGCUCGACAGCUCUCCUCUAGCCAUAGCGGCAUUCCACUACAAAGGGGGAAAGAAACUAAAGCUACCUGGGAUUCCUCUAAGAAGCCAAAAUUUGAUUUCUUUUUUGAUGAUGAGAAAUGCUUUAGAAGAGAACAUCUAUAUGCUACUGUGCUACUAUGAGGAAAUUUUCAGAAAUUUUCACAACUUAUUUUAUUUAAUUAUGUGACAAUGAGAAUAAAUAUUUUUUAAAAAUUUUACAAUUUAAAAUAUAAAACAAUAUUUAAAAUUUUUGUUUUUUAUCAUUUUUUUAAUGAAAAUAUGUAUUUUUUAUAUGUAGCAUAAUUUUUAAAUAAAAACUUAGCACAAUUAAAAUCAAUAUUCACAAGAAUUCAAAUGAUUUUAAUGAAAGAAAAAAUAUAUUUCUUUCUCCAAAUCUCUCCUUACUUUUUUUUUAUCAAUAAUAUAUCUUUUUAAUAUGUUUUUUAAAAAUAUACCAUAGUAAUUUCAAGAAAUAGUAUAAAAAUAAAAAAGAAAUAAUUAAUAUAAGAAAAUUAUAUAAACAUUAUAUAAGAAAAAUAAAAAAAUCACUCUCAUUGAAUAGUUUGGAGCAACUUUUAAAACAAAAUUACGAAUUAGAUUUAUAUAAAAUGUCUUAUAAAUUAAUUGAUAAUAUAACCAUAAAAAAAUUAAAUCUUAUUUGAAAAGUAAGGUUUUUAAUCAUAAAAGAGUUAUUAAUAAUAAUUAAAGAUUAAAGUAGAAAAAUAUUUUUAUAUAAGAAGUGAAAGAUAAAUACAUAUGUAAAUAUUUUAUCUUAGUUAACCUUCUCAUUUUAUUCAUUCUCUCUUAUUUAUCAUGGAGGGUAAUUUUGGUUCACGAAGUGCCUAUGAUUUCCAUUUUUAUAAAUGUAUUAUGAAAAUAUAACUCAUCUAUUUAAAAUUUAAGAGGAAUAAAUUCUAUAAUUUGUUUUGCAAUAAUUAAAAUAAAUAUUACUAAAAACCUUAAUGAUUUAAAUUAGGAGAAAAAAAUAAAUUUUUAUUGUCAAAAUUCCUUUUUGUUAAUUAUAGUUUUUUUCUUUACAGAACAAUGAUUGUUUUUAUUAACAACAUCAUUAUUUGUGUAAAUAUUUAAAGCAAUUGAAAUAAAUAUAUAUAAAAACUAGAAUGAUUUAAAUUGUGAAAGAAAGAAUAUAAUUCUUUAGCCAAGACUUCAUACGAUAACUUCUUGCUUAUAUUGUGUUGAACUUUGAUUGACCUCGAAAUCUAAACCAAUAUAAAACAAAACCACUAAAAACUGCUAGUAUAAUUUCAGUCUGAUCUAAUAAUUAAAUUGAGAGUUAUCCAUGUUAGCGUAAAACUGUACAUUAUGAAACAUUAAGCCAAAAACCAAAGUGAUUAUCCAACCCUGACAUGAAUCAUAUCAUUCCCCCUCUUUUAAAAAAAAUUCAUCCUCGAAUCACAAAAAAAAAAAAACAAUGUUAAGAUUUAGAGCAACAAUAGCAUCUACUUUAUAAUUAGUCUCUUGUUUAAGCAUUCAGAGCUUCUUUUUUUUGCCAAUUUUUGCCUCAAACAAAACUAUAUGAAUAUAACAACUUCUCUCUCUCAUUUUGCAUCCUUUUAGCGCGUAGCUUCUCUCUUUCAUGUUGCAUAUUUUUACGCUAAUAUGAAGAUUCCUGAUCAUCAAUAAGUUUUUUUUAUUUAUGUAAAUGACAUUGUAAUUUCCUUGUGCUUCUUUACUAAACUCAUAAAAUCUCUUUCUCCAUCAACCUUUGGAACUUGGAACCUUAGUUUCUCUUGCCUCCUAACAUUAAAAAGCCUUUGGGAUUGUCCCUUUCACAAUUUAACAUCUUUUUUAUCUGUCUGUUCAAGAUACUCAUCAAAUUUAUAUUCAUCCUUUCAAGUUAUUGUUCCAUGACUCGUAACAUAAAAGCUUGAUUUUCCCUCUCUUUUAGUGAUGAUGCAUAACUUGUGAAAGAUGUCGUUGAAAUCUAAAAAUCACGUUAGUUGUAAAAAAAUAUAUUUAUACACACUACCUUACAUGUUUAUAAUCAGUAAGAUAGCACUCCACUUGUAUUUCACUCAAAUUUGGCUUUCCACAAUAAUAUGUUCGUCUUUUCGCCUUUCAUCUCUCGUACUCAUCUUUAUAGUUCUUUAAAGAACUAAUCUCAAACAAAUAAAGAUAACAACCUUGAAAUCCCAACCUUAUAUUUUUGAACUCGGAAUCAAGAAAUAACAAAAAAUAAUCAAUAAAUAAUGAAAUACAAAUAUGGAAAUGAUGACAAAAUGAAUCAUAUGUGAAUAGGAACAAAAACACAAAAAUGAAUGUAAAAGCAAGAAAAUAAUGUAAUAAGACUAUAACUAACCUAAACUAAUACUAUAAUAUUAAUUUCAAUAAAAACUAACAAUGGUAAACUAAAAAAAGUUUUGUUGACACAAUAGUUAAUGAUUUCACAAUUUCAAACUUACUUGAACAUAAGUGUGUCCAAAUAACCCUGAAAUUAAUAUUUGAAACUAAUAUUCCUAAUUCCUCAAGAAUAUUAGAUUGUAUGGGUAUAUCUUUUAAUUUAUAGUAGAAUUUCUAGAGAUCGCAAUUUACAAGUUGUAGAAAUUCUACUAUAAAUUAAAAGAUAUACCCAUACAAUCUAAUAUUGUUGCCAAAAUCAAUCAGAUUUGAUAAAACAAAGAAAAUUAAUAUGGAAACAUAAAGAGAAUUGAUAUAACCUGAUUUUAUAGCCUUACUUUGAUACCAAUUGACACAAACUUAAAGGGUAAGAACCCUAAAACCCAUACACAAGAAAGAUCAAACCCAAAAAAACUAAAAUUAAAUUUGGUUGAUGAAAACUCGAAACAACUAUUACUUAAACCAAGGCAUCAAAACUAAAACAAUACCCCAACUCAAUUAUUAUAAAGAAUCACUAACGAGAAUCAUAAAAAAGAAGCCAUAAAGAUAAUUAUAUUUUGAUAAGUCAAAAUCGUUUAAUGAAAAACCAAAAGUAUAAAAAUCCUCUCACACACAAGCAACAAUAUGCGGCAAUGUAUUAUUGGAAUCUGAAUAAUAAUUUCUACAAAAGAUUAUUUAUAAUGUAAAACUUAACCUAACCUUAAUGGACUAUUAGGAUGAUAUUAAACCCAAUUUAAAUAAAGCUCAUAGUACUUAAAAACAAUCCUAAAACAUGAGAACUAAUGAAAAACCCAAGUUCAAAAUAUAAAGCCUCAUGUAAUAAACCAAAAAAAAAAAAAAAAUUCAAAACAAUCAGCCUAUAUCAUUUCUUCCAUUCUUUCUCUACGCAAAAGAAAAAAAAUGUCAAAAAAAAAAUUGUUAUACCCCAUAGUCUCAACCAAACAUAAAGAAAACAAUAAAAAUCAAAUCACAAUAAAAUCAUCUUCACCUCUUUUUUUAAAAAUAAAAGAUAAAAGAUUUGAUCAUCAAAUUAAUUUACAAAUUCUAUUAGAUCAAAUUUGAAAAAUUCAAAGACUAAAAAAUAUUUGUUAGUUGAUUCAUGAUUGAAACUUCCUAAGAAAACUUGAUGAAAUCUAAACUUGCAAGGGAUAAAUUGAAUUGAAUUUGUACCAUAUCUCAAAGGAUGGGUUUCACAAAAAAUAAAAAUAAAAACACUAAAUCAGAACCUAAUUUACUAUGUCUUUCCUUACAAAAACGUUGUGGAAGAAACUAUUCAUUAAUUUGUUUUUCAUUUUAUAUCUAAAAAAUUAUUUUUUACAAUUUCAACCUCACAAUUGAUGUUGAAAUCAAUUUAAGUAUUAGGAUUUCUUUUUAUUUGUAUGUAUCAUGUGUGCAAGGUCUUUACGAGUAUUCCAGCGAUAAAUUAAACAUCAAUUUUAUGAAACAAAUUUUAAUUUUGUUGGAAAGAAUUGAAAGAACAAUGACAAAAACUUAUAAAAACAAGCAUUUCAUUUUUUUUACUAUUAAAAAGGCGUAAAAAAUUCAGUUUGUUCCCUAAGUUUUUAUUCUUGACAUAUUUGAUUCCUAUUCUUUUAUGAUUUUUAUUUAGAUCCUAAACUUUAUUUUUGUUUGUGUUUUGGUCCCUAGGUGUUAAGGGGAUAUAGAGAAAGUCAUUCUAAUCACUACAAAGACUGAUCUUGAUAUCAAUAAGUUAUUAUGAUAUUUUGUAGGUAUUCAUGGUGAAACUAAUUUCAAAAAUAAUUUUUUUUGGGUCCGGGAACCUAAAACCUAAAAUUUUAAUAUCUAAAAGUGAUUAGAAUUUGAAUACUUUAACAAAUUUAUCAUCAUGUAUAUUGAGUUUCUACUUCAAUCUUCCAUUUUGUCUUAUUAGUCAAAGUUUAUCUGGAUAAUACAAACUUUAUAACUUUUCUGAAUCAUAUCAUUGUUUUUCAAAACUUUUAAAUUUCAAUAAAAUGCUCUUAUUUAUUUUCUGUCAUAUACUUUGUUAUCUGAUCGCGUGUAUGUUUGUAUAUAUAUAUAAUGAAUUGAUCUCUUGACUAAUCUUAAUUUGUAUAUGUGUAUGUGUAUGCCAACGCAAAGAUUAUACGUAUUUAGAGGGUGUUUGGAAUAAAAAUAUGAUUGGUUUUUUUAUUUUAUUUUAUAGAAUCACAUAAAAAAAUACUUUUACACAGUGUAAUCUGUACUUAAAAAAAAAUAAAAAAAAAGGGAACCAAACCCAUAUCCCAAACACAUAAUUAUUUUGCAAGUGGCUCUCUUCAUCACCCAACUGUCCUCUCAAACCUAUAAUAGUUUCUGACAUCACGGAGGAAAGUGCUCGAGACAGAUCAGAGACACAUGCACAGGGGCGCCCUUUCACGACGCUGAACGUUCAAAAACUAAUUCUAUCUCCAUCGCAAGGCCUAGCACAAGUUGCACAACGACUCAUGGUCCAGACUCCAGACUGGCAGUAUUCAUAGAGACUGCACUUUUAAACUUUGAAGGAUCCUCAACCCUGCAAGUAUUAUUUAAUUAGUUUAAUUUUUUUAGGGUUUCUAUCACUUUUAAUUGCCGAUGUUGCUUAAUAUAUUAUUUAAUUAGUUUAAUUUCUUAUACAGUUAGAAGGAGCGACUCUCAUUCUUAUUGAAUUGAAGAAUCCUAUGGUCAUAAUUAAAGUGAAAGUUGAUAAAUAUACCUAUCCUCCUAGUAAACACGAACUCAAGUAUAUAUUAUUCUCAAAGUGUUAUUCAAAUUCAUCAUUUGUUGAUUUUAGAAUUUUUUUUUAUGGUUGAAUUUUAUUCUCAAAGUGUUAUUCAAAUUAUUUUAUGUUUGAAAAAAUAUUAAAUUAAUAUUUUUUUAGAUAUUUUUUAAUAAUUUAAAUAUUUUAAUAUAAAAAUAAAUUUAAAUUUAAAAUAAAAAUUUAAUUAAAAAUUAACGUUCUGCCGCAUUACUAAUCACAAAAUCUAAGAGCAUCUCCAUGGACGAUUCUCAAUUAAUCCAAUAUUAAAGGAUGAAAUAAAAAAAAAUUAAUUAAAAUAAAAAAUAAAAAAUGACCUGAGUCAACCCGGAUGAACUCAUUAAACCCAUGACACCAGUCAUGAGACCGAGAUAAUCUUGUAAAAAGCAAACCAAAAAACAUAGAUUAAAAAAAAAUUCAAAUGACAAAAAAUGGAAAAAAAACAUUAUUACAAUGAAUUGUAUUAAUUUUGAUAAUUUUAUAAGAUAAGUAGAAAUAAUAUUUUUAUAAAAAAAUAAUAUUUUAUUUUGUACUCCAUUUAGAGCAUGUAAAAUAAAUAUCGAAAAACUAAAAUAAUAUUUAUUUUAUUUUAUUUUACAUUUAGCAUUUCCCUUCACAUACUCGAAGAGUGGAAGAGUCAAGGGAAAAAAAAUGGGGCGAGACUUGUGCAUCAGACACGUGUCGGUCCUUCAUUGAUUAGAUUAUAAAUAAUAUCUUUGAAAUCUGCACUUAACCAAUCGCUGGCUUUUUCUUGUUAUCUUGAAGCAUCAGUGUUUGUCUUUUCUUUUUACUUGAGAAAAGGAGAGCUAAGUUUCAUUCUCAGAGCUUAAAAUUACGUUCCAUAGUGGAAAACCCUUCCUCAGACAAGAAAUUUAACAUGGCAAACAUUAGAUUGCUCUCUACAAGCAUGGUUCAAGCCACUACCGACAAGGUGACAGAUGAGAGGAUUGAGUUGACUCAGUGUGAUCUCAAGCUUCUUCUAGUAGAUGCCAUCCAAAAGGGUCUUCUCUUCCUCAAACCCAAAUCAUUAGAAGAUCAAAACUCACUGAUCCAACACUUGAAAACCUCACUUUCUCGCACACUAGAUUGCUUCAAUCCUCUUGCUGGUCGCCUAGCCGCAGUAGAACAUGAUGAUAACACAGUCUCCUUCUUCAUUGACUGCAACAAUGCAGGAGCCCAGUUUGUUCAUGCCGCAGCGGAUGGUGUAACCAUGG